AUUGAACGCUGGCGGCAUGCCUUACACAUGCAAGUCGAACGGCAGCACGGGGCAACCUGGUGGCGAGUGGCGAACGGGUGAGUAAUGCAUCGGAACGUACCUUUCAGUGGGGGAUAACGUAGCGAAAGUUACGCUAAUACCGCAUAUUCUGUGAGCAGGAAAGCAGGGGAUCGCAAGACCUUGCGCUGACUGAGCGGCCGAUGUCAGAUUAGCUAGUUGGUGAGGUAAAGGCUCACCAAGGCGACGAUCUGUAGCGGGUCUGAGAGGAUGAUCCGCCACACUGGAACUGAGACACGGUCCAGAUUCCUACGGGAGGCAGCAGUGGGGAAUUUUGGACAAUGGGGGCAACCCUGAUCCAGCCAUGCCGCGUGAGUGAAGAAGGCCUUCGGGUUGUAAAGCUCUUUCGGCCGGGAAGAAAUCGCACGGGCUAAUACCCUGUGUGGAUGACGGUACCGGAAUAAGAAGCACCGGCUAACUACGUGCCAGCCGCCGCAGUAAUAC
rnacentral:rRNA from 1 species